UUCUUUCCUUGUAAGUCACCAAAAUUUCUACUUCGCUUGAGACUGAGACAGAGACAGAAAAUGGCGAGGGGAAGCGAGAGUGUGGGUGAGGGCGUACCGAAAGAGAUGAGCGAUCCACUGAGGCGCACGGUAGCCAGCCUGGAGAAUCUGGAAGCAGAGCUGCCGAAUAUUCUCUCUCUCUCAAACCCUUUCAUCCUCUCUAAAAUGCCUCCUCUUCAACGCGCUCACUCCCUCUUAACUCUUGCCAACAUCACUUCCACCCUUUUCUCAUUGAAGUUGAGAUGCAAAGGGACUAAUCCAGAUUAUCAUCCCCUCAAAUCUGAACUUGACAGGUUAAAAGUUUACCAACGCAAACUGGAACCCUUUGCGGAUGUAGGUCAAGCUCUACCACUUCCUUCUUCUUUCUUGGAUGAUCAGGCUUCUGUUGACCACUCCUUACGUGACCUCACUUCAGUACAAAGAAAAGAAAUGGCUAACAUGAGCAUUGGGGAGGUACCAAUGAUGAGCAACUAUCAGGAGCAGGCUGGUCAGAAGAGAAAGCAUCCAUCUUCUGAAGAACACCCUGUUCAAGUUUAUGCUGAGGUGCACGUGAAGAAAGAACCACUUGAGGUUUUUGGUCAUAACAAGGGAAAAACUGAGGAACCAAUAGUAAUUGACAUUUCAGAUGAUGACGAGUGAUGAUCAUUUUGAGCUGUUUGUGCAGUUGUGCCGCCCUUAUUUUUCAGAAUCUGGAUCUGGGGUUGUCAUUGUCAACAUAUAAUUCAUGGGGUGCUAUGUGUAAUUUCACCUAAAAUUCAAGGGAGUAUAACUGAAUAAAAUGGAGCUGCCUUGAAGAGAGAGAAUUUCGUGUCAUCCUUGCUGCUUUGCCAUACUUUUUCAUCAUCAAAGUUUAUAAUACACCAAUUUCUAUAAUUGGUCACAAAUAAUCUUGGAAAGAAACUUAGAUUUUGAAAUUAAGAUUAAAAUAAAAAAAAGAAGAGAAUUACCAAGACGGUCUCUGACUUGAAACCUAGCCCUCUCAGCCCAUUUGUUGAGGGGAAUCAGAGGGUGAAGAUGGAACCUUCCAUGCAUCAACCUUGCCUCCAACCAACAUAUCCUUAGCAGCAUAAGAUAUUCCAAACACAACAAAAAGGACCAAAAUACAAGUAGCUGAGGAAGCUCUCAAACAACAAAAUAUAACACAAAUAUGCCGAGGAUUUUUACUGAUUAUUGAUGUGAUAUAAUGGUACACAACUAACUGGUUUUAGCAGUGUGCUGAGGUUAUUUAUAUAGUGGGGGGUUUGGGUGAUGAGAUAUUGAGAUGAACUUAGAACUUAGAAGUAGCCGUUAAAAGGGUACAUUGGGAAUGGUACAUGGUGUGGGGACUACAGAGUUAUGUUUCUCUUGUUACUUGUUUGGCCUCAAAAAUACCCAAAAAGAAAUUGUUAUUCA